AUGGGCACUAUGUAUCCAAAGCGGCUUAGAUUCAGAGUUUUGACUCAACCCCCAUGUGAGGAUAUACGUACAAUCAUUGCAAACGGGCUCUUUAAGGAAGCAGCGCGUACUCAGCAGGAAGGAUGGAACAAGAUGGAACUAUCAGCACCAGAAGAUAACUCUCACUGUGGUGGAACGAAGGGCAUGGGCGCAGGAGCCAGCCCCAUCGGGUCCAAAGCGACCUCUGCUGACUGCAAGCUGAACACCUCGGGCCAAUCACCUACCCCUUUUCAGCCUCAGUUUCUUCACAUGUGAAAGGCUAGAGAUAGC
rnacentral:lncRNA from 1 species